rnacentral:rRNA from 1 species
CCUACGGGUGGCAGCAGUGAGGAAUAUUGGUCAAUGGACGCAAGUCUGAACCAGCCAUGCCGCGUGCAGGAAGACGGCCCUAUGAGUUGUAAACUGCUUUUGUACGAGGGUAAACUCAGAUACGUGUAUCUGUCUGAAAGUACCUUACGAAUAAGGAUCGGCUAACUCCGUGCCAGCAGCCGCGGUAAUACGGAGGAUUCAAGCGUUAUCCGGAUUUAUUGGGUUUAAAGGGUGCGUAGGCGGGCGGUUAAGUUAGAGGUGAAAUCCUGAGGCUCAACUUCGGAAUUGCCUCUGAUACUGGUAGGCUAGAGUGUAGUUGAGGUAGGCGGAAUGUGUGGUGUAGCGGUGAAAUGCUUAGAGAUCAUGCAGAACACCGAUUGCGAAGGCAGCUUACCAAGCUGCUUCUGACGUUGAGGCACGAAAGCGUGGGGAGCAAACAGGAUUAGAUACCCUGGUAGUC